rfam:Bacillus infantis NRRL B-14911, complete genome.
ACUGAUAAAGGCAAACCUGUCGAAAGGCAGGGACGCAAAGCUAUGGGCCUUCCCGCAUCAGCGGUUGGCUGCCAGGCUGCCGGGC